UAAAAAAGAGAGUAAUUGGCAGUUAUGUUGGAUCGACUUUAGGUGUGUAAACAGGUCUGGGUGGGACGGACUGAGCAGCGAUCAUCCGUGGUGACUGUUGCAACUCAUGAGACAAGCUGGUUGGGAAACUCCCGGGAAGCAGAUUUCGACAAGUUGCGUGCAAAAGCCCUUUCCUGUUUCAAACGAGAAGAAAAGGUAGUCUCUGAUAAGAACCCCAACCGUGCUGGAAGGGAGCUCAGAAGACCAGCUCAAGAGCACUGGUUAAGCACAGAGAUCCAGGCAACCAUGAAGACUCCGUGGUUGAUGUUCCUGCUGUUGUUCAGCUUCAUGCUCAUACUGGUUACCGUAUCCAGUACUGUUGUCCACCAGCCGCCGGCCACAGAAGGAGUGCCAACUUUAGAAGGGUCAUCCGAGGCGGUGGGAACCCAUAUUGAGCAUUUGGGGGGUCCCAGCGUGCAACGGUCCAAAGCCUGGUGGAAGAAGUUCAUAACCGAAAAUGGGAAGCCCCCAAAGAAGCCCCCAGGAAUGUACACGCCCCUGGGUGGUAUAAACUCCACUGCGACCUCAUAGACCACACAUCUCCACCCGCUCUGUUGAAGUCUCUGGCAGUGAUCCUGGCAAGUGUAGCAACAUAUAUUUGGUACCUGCUGUGAAUCGAUGUGCAUAUCAGCCGGCAUACGUUGAACUGCUCCCUUUCUCACUGCAGCCGGCUUCCGAGGAGGCUGCAACAUCUUCUCUCCAUCUGAGAUGGACAUCUUUUGUUUUUGUUUCCCUGUGUUGUAUAGAGAUCCCUCUUUUGUCUGCCCUUUUAUAAUAGCAAUAAAGACUGUUUUCUUCUAA